GUUGGGUCUUGAACUAGGUUAGUCAAAAAAAAAAGAAAAAAGAAGAGGGAGAGAAACACAAAAAGUGAGAGUAAAACCUAAAAUGGCAACCAACAACUCAACCCUUUCUCAGCCCUUGAUUCCCAUAUUCAAUGGUGAAAAAUAUGAGUUUUGGAGUAUCAAGAUAACAACCCUUUUCAAGUCUCAAGAGCUAUGGAACUCGAUAGAGUAG
rnacentral:lncRNA from 1 species